UUUCAAAACUUGGCAAGGUGAGCUGCGUGGGGCUCAAAAGACGCGCUUCUGUAUUUCCUGGUUCAUUCACCCGAUUAGUGGACUUGGCAUUGUCCAUUAUAAAGUCCAUGCUGACUGUUCUGAAUUCGAUUUUUUACUUUAAAGGCUAAGAUGAUGCAGUGGAAUUUUAUCGUCAGAGCCACAGGUUUUUGGAUAAUUCCAUUUUUAGUCAGUACAGUCCAAUCACGCCCUC
rnacentral:sRNA from 1 species